rnacentral:rRNA from 1 species
GAUGAACGCUGGCGGCGUGCCUAAUACAUGCAAGUCGAGCGAACAGACGAGGAGCUUGCUCCUCUGACGUGAGCGGCGGACGGGUGAGUAACACGUGGAGAACCUACCUAUAAGACGGGGAUAACUUCGGGAAACCGGAGCUAAUACCGGAUAAUAUAUUGAACCGCAUGGUUCAAGAGUGAAAGACGGUAUUGCUGUCACCUAUAGAUGGAUCCGGGCGGCAUAAGCUAGUUGGUAAGGUAACGGCUUACAAAGGCGACGAUCAGUACCCGACCUGAGAGGGUGAUCGCCCACGCUGGAACUGGAACACGGUCCAGCCUCCUACGGGAGGCAGCAGUGGGGAUUCUCCGGCAAAGGGCGAAAGCCUGACGGAGCAACGCCGCGUGAUUGAUGAAGGUCUCCGGAUCGUAAAACUCUGUUAUUAGGGAAGAACAAAUGUGUAAGUAACUAUGCACGUCUUGACGGUACCUACUCAGAAAGCCACGGCUAACUACGUG